CCCUUUAAAGAGCAAAAUCAGGGUGACCUGAUGGCGCAAAAUCACGGGUCCCAUGAAAGGAUAGCCGGAUUACUGAU
rnacentral:ncRNA from 1 species